rnacentral:rRNA from 1 species
GACGAACGCUGGCGGCGUGCUUAACACAUGCAAGUCGAACGGAAAGGCCCUGCUUUUGUGGGGUGCUCGAGUGGCGAACGGGUGAGUAACACGUGAGUAACCUGCCCUUGACUUUGGGAUAACUUCAGGAAACUGGGGCUAAUACCGGAUAGGAGCUCCUGCUGCAUGGUGGGGGUUGGAAAGUUUCGGCGGGUGGGGAUGGACUCGCGGCUUAUCAGCUUGUUGGUGGGGUAGUGGCUUACCAAGGCUUUGACGGGUAGCCGGCCUGGGAGGGGGACCGGCCACCAUGGGCCUGCGGUACGGCCCAGUCUGCUACGGGAGGCAGCAGUGGGAAAUAUUGCACAAUGGGCGGAAGCGUGAUGCAGCGGCGCCCCGUGCGGGAUGCCGGCCUUUGGGUUGUAAACCGCUUCCGCCUGUGACGAAGCGUGAGUGACGGUAAUGGGUAAAGAAGCACCGGCUAACUACGUG